CAGUCGCCACGGUAAAACCGAGGGUGCAAGCGUUAAUCGGAAUUACUGGGCGUAAAGCGCGCGUAGGUGGUUUGUUAAGUUGGAUGUGAAAGCCCCGGGCUCAACCUGGGAACUGCAUCCAAAACUGGCAAGCUAGAGUACGGUAGAGGGUGGUGGAAUUUCCUGUGUAGCGGUGAAAUGCGUAGAUAUAGGAAGGAACACCAGUGGCGAAGGCGACCACCUGGACUGAUACUGACACUGAGGUGCGAAAGCGUGGGGAGCAAACAGGAUUAGAUACCCCUGUAGUCCCUGUCUCUUAUAC
rnacentral:rRNA from 1 species